rnacentral:lncRNA from 10 species
GUGGCUCACACCUGUAAUCCCAGCAUUUUUGAAGGUCAAAGCAGGAGGACUGCUUGAAGCCAGAAGUUCGAGAUCAGCCUGGGCAACAUAGCAAAAACCCGUCUCAAAAAAUUAAAAAAUUAGCUGGGCAUGGUAGUGCAUGGCUGUAGUCCUGCCUACUCAGGAGGCUGAGACAGGAGGAUUGCUUGAGCCCAGGGGGUCAAGGUUGCAGUGAGCUAUGAUUGUACCACUGCACUCCAGCCUGGGCCACAGAGUGAGACCCUACCUCUAAAAGAAUAAAAAAUAAAAUAACAAUAAUUAUAAUAAUGGCAAAGACUUAGCAUAAUGCCUUGCAAAUAGUAAGUGUUCAAUAUCUGCUCUAUUGAUAAAUUAAUAAUAAUUAAUUAAUAAUAUUAUCAUUAAUAUGCUCUAUUAUUAAUGUCGAGUCAACAUUGAUUAAGGGUAAUAUUUUAAUACGCCUGGCCGCACUACUGAUCUUUGUGUCUUCAUAUCCAGCAAAGCAUCUGGCACAGGCCAGCUGGCCAAGGGAGUAAUUCUGAUUGGGUAUCAGGGAUGUCCUAUGAAAGAUGACACUUAAGUGAGACCUGAAUGAUGAGAAUGAGCCAGCUAUCUGGGGCAAAGCACCACAAGGAGAAUGAACAGCCAGAGCAAAGGCCCUAAGGGAGAAAGCAGCAGCACGCAGGCCAGUGUGGCUGGAGCAGUGUGAGAGGUAAGCAGGUGCCUGAUCACAGCCUUGCAGAACAUGGUAGAAACUUUGGGUGGUUUCUCCAAGUUCCAUGCCUCAUCAUUAGAAGAUUUUUAAGCCAGUGAGUAAUAUGGCAUAAACAAGGAAUAUCUGUAGAAUAAAUGAGCAUUUUUAAAGGUUCACAUUAGCAGUAUGCCUCUACUACCUUAAGAGGUAAGAUUUUGGCAUGGAUAGGGCUUUUUCAACCUCUGUCCAGAUGACUGGCACAUGGUGGCUGUUAUGAACUGAAUGUUUGAGUUCCCCCAAACUCCUAUGUUGAAGCCCCAGUUCCCAAUGUGAUGGUAAUUGGAGAUAGGGCCUUUGGGAAUUAAAUGGGAUUGGAUGAGGCUAUGAGGCUGGGGGAUGAUGGGAUCAGUGGCCUGAUGGAAUCAGUGCCUUUAUAUGAAGAGACAUCAGCGAAUCUGUCUUGUUGUCUCUUUCUCUCCAUGCAAGCACAGAGGAAAAGUCACGUGAGGAUGCAGCAAGAAGGUGGCUGUCACAAGCAGGAAGAGGGCCCUCAGCAGGAACCAAAUCAGCAGACACCUCGAUCUUAGACCUCUCAGACUCCAGAACUGUGAGAAAUCAAUUUCUGUUGUUUGGGCCACCUGGUCUGUGAUAUUUUGUUAUGGCAGCCCAAGCAGACUAAUACAGUGGCCAAGAUCUUGUCCAAGAAGAAUGAAUGAAUCUCAUGAAAACACUGAAUGCAUCUUACUUAAUGCUUCUGCUUUGGGAGAAAAAAUGCCUCUCGAGCUCAGGGAGAACAAAACAGACUAAUUAAACAAGGAGAAUAGUAAAGGAAAUUGCUUUUUAAGCAAGGUUAUAUAUUGGUUCAUUGCUCAUUUCUAAUUGCACCAGAGGGAAACUAGAUAAUAGUAGUCACUAAAUUCCAGAAGACUUGGCCCAAAUUUCCUUCAUCUAAUUCAAAGGCUCGAUUCAGCAAGGGGCAGAUGAUGCGACUGUCCCAAUUGAAUGAGACAGUGACCACACAAUGUGCUGCUCUUGACACAGCAUGCUGAACAGAGGAGGAAAGAUCUUGGGGAAGGUCAGGUUUUUAUUUAUGUGCUUGUGCUGCCUAUGGAUUUCUAAAUAGAUGUUACAAGUGAUUAUGUCAAAACGUGGUACCUGUUAAGAGAUUUAAAUUUUCUAUUUUGCUAAUUCAGCAAAUAUUCACUGAGCACCUACAAAUGCUAGAGCCUACUCUGGAAGCUUGGGAUACAGCAGUGAAUAUGGUAGGUGGGGUAUGGCAGUGAAUAUGACAGGUGGGAUACGGCAGUGAUUAUGGCAGGUGGGAUCUGCCAGUGAAUAUGGCAGGUGGGAAUAUGGGCAGUGAUUAUGGCAGGUGGGAUACGGCAGUGAAUAUGGCAAGUGGGAUAUGGCAGUGAAUAUGACAUGUGGAAUAUGGCAGUGAUUAUGGCAGGUGGGAUAUGGGCAGUGAUUAUGGCAGGUGGGAUACCGCAAUGAAUGUGGCAGGUGGGAUACGGCAGUGAUUAUGACAGGUGGGAUACAGCAGUAAAUAUGACAGGUGGGAUACAGCAGUGAUUAUGGCAGGUGGGAUAUGGCAGUGAUUAUGACAGGUGGGAUACGGCAGUGAUUAUGGCAGGUGGGAUACGGCAGUGAUUAUGACAGGUGGGAUACGGCAGUGAUUAUGGCAGGUGGGAUUUGGCAGUGAAUAUGACAGGUGAGAUACAGCAUGAAUAUGACAGGUGUGGUUCCAGUCCACAAGAGCUUGUAUUGCAGUUAGAGGGAAACAGAAAAUAAAACAAAUCUAGGAAAUCUCACAUAGUGAAAAAUGUUAAAAAUAAAAAAGAAGUGUGCUAGAGAGUGACUAAGGAAUUAUUUCUGUCAUUAUUUACUUACUAUUUGUGAUGAAUAAGCAUUAAUUGGAAGCUUAAUAUUGACCUCUGCUUUCUUUUUCUUCUUAAAAGAGGAAACAGUCUGAUCACUUUUACUAUAAAAAUAAAAAAAAAAAGAAUCCACGGCCUUUCUUGAGCUCUUAUCAUCAAAUUAAAUUUGUAUAUUUUGAGUCCUUUUGAAAGGGAAAAUGGAAAAUGCUGUUAGAGAAGUCCAGUGGGGCAUUAAAGUCAAACGAUGAGUCAGAUUUGGAAAGUAAGCAUUUUGAAAGCUGGGACCAGGUUUUCCUCAAGUCUGCAUCUUGCAUAGCAACUAGCAUAAUUCCUGGCAUUAUUAAUAAUGUAACAGAAAAAAGGGCCAAUAUAUUAACAAGCAGCAAUUCAAAGAAAAAGGAAUCCAAAUGGCUAAUAAACAUAGUAAGAUGCUGGCUGGGCACGAUGACUCACACCUGUAAUCCCAACACUUUGGGAGGCCAAGGCGGGCCGACUGCUUGAGCCCAGGAGUUCAAGACCAGCCUGGGCAACAUGGCAAAACCCAGUCUCUACAAAAAAUGCAAAAAUUACCUGGGUGCGGUGGUGUGCACCUGUAGUCCCAGCUACUCAGGAGGCUGAGGUGGGAGAAUCCUCUGCCUUCCAUAUGAACCCGGGAGGCAGAGGUUGCAAUGAGCCAUGAUCAUGCCACUGCACUCCAGCCGGGAUGACAGAGUAAGACCCUGUCUCAAAAACAGAAACAAAAAACGAAAGAAAACAAAAGUAAUCAACAACAAAACGAUAGUAAAAUGCUAAAACCAACUGUGUAGCAUCCUAUAGGAGACAUAUCAUGACUACAAGAUUAAUGAUAGCUAUAAGGCAUUAACAAGCUCUCACAGGACUGACACUAUGUGCCACUUAGCAGCGUGAGGCCACCUGGCCUGGGGAUUUCCAAGCUGGCCCAGGGAUUUCCAGGACAUAAGGCCACCUCAUCACGGAUGCAAAUCUCGUAAACCUUUAACAAAGCUUACCCUUAUAAGACUAGCUUAACCUCCUCUUAUGAAAGAAACGCCUGAUAAUUGACUGAACUAAAUGCAGGUAGAAGAAAUGGGAAGAAUCUCCCAAACUCUGAGAAUAGUCUCCAGAUGGAGACCCUCCUGGACAGGCAGUCAUCUGACCUCUGAUUGAAUCUGGCCCAUGCCACCCACCUGCUCCCACUAUCCGACUUGUAAGACCACUGCUAAAAUAAAUAGCUUGAACAUCAGAUGGUAUUGAAGUCACAUCUUUGAUGUGAAUCGGACUGAAGGGAAGUUGCUUCUAGGGAAACUGGUUUGCUAGGACCAUCGAAAACCUCCAA